rnacentral:lncRNA from 1 species
AGCCCCAACUGUACCUCUUGGGCAGCAAGGAUCAUUUCCCUUCACCAAGCCUGUGUGUGGGACACAGGCUGGACCUCGUGUGAGCAGUGGGACUCUGCCAGACGCUUCCCAAGCCUCAUCCCUCCCUCGUUUGCAACUCGUUUCUGUACCCCUGUUGUUCUGCUCUCUCCUCCAUCGUGCAACAGCUGCUCCUUGCUGACACGGUGCAGACCCUGCAAAGCACUCAGUCCUCACUCCCCUUGUCCUCCCCAGCGUCACCUACCACCUUGGCUACUGCAGGGAGGAAUUGAUCGGUCAGUCGUGGUACAGCCUCCUGCACCCCGAGGACACUGACCUAGCGGCUGCCCAGCACAGGGCCGUGGCGCUCGGGACCGGGGCCGGACCCGCAGCAGGGUCGGCAGUUCUGCGUGUGCUGCGCAGAGACCGCACCUGGGCCUGGCUUCGCGUAUCGGCGCAGCGGGAGGACGGAAGCCACGCCAUCACCUGCACCAGCCGCUACCUCAGGGAGGAAGAAGCGGCCUACCUACGCGCCCGGCAGUACAACCCCCCGCCCCGUACCACGCCGCAGCCGCCGGCGGGAGGGGAGCUCAGCCUGCUAGCCGCACAGCUCCGCGCCCUGGCCGACAGCCUCUCGCCGCCCACCGCCGCCGCUCCGGUUUGGCCCUGGCCCCAGGCCGAGGCCGAGGCCGAGGCCGCGGCCUGCCCACCGGGCCCACCGGACGCCGCCUGGGCCCGUCUCCUUGGCAACGCGCCGGAGGGGGCGGGACCCACCGCCGCGCACGCGCACUACGCCCCCUGCCCGCUCCAAUAAACGCC